rnacentral:rRNA from 1 species
AACGAACGCUGGCGACGUGCUUAACACAUGCAAGUCGAACGGAAAGGCCCUGCUUAUGUGGGGUGCUCGAGGGGCGAACGGGUGAGUUACACGUGGGUAACCUGCCCUUGACUUUGGUAUAACUUCAUGAAACUUGGGCUAAUACCGGCUAGGAGCUACUGCUGCAUGGUGGGGGUUGGAAAGUUUCGGCGGUUGGGGAUGGACUCGCGGCUUAUCAGAUUGUUGGUUGGGUAGUGUCUUACCAAGGCUUUGAGGGGUAGCCGUCCUGAGCGGGGCAGCGGCCACACUGCGACUGAGAUACGGCACAGCCUCCAAUGGGACGCAGCAGUGGGGAAGAGUGCACAAUGGGAGGAGGCCUGAUGCAGCAACGCCGCGUGGGGGAUGACGGCAAUGCGGUUGUAAACCGAUUUCGCCUGAGACGAAGCGUGAGUGACGGUAAUGGGUGAAGAAGCACCGGCUAACUACGUG